GCGGAAUAGCUCAGUUGGUAGAGCACGACCCGCCAAGGUCGUAGGUCGCGAGUUCGAGUCUCUGCUUCCCGCUCCA
rnacentral:tRNA from 1 species